rnacentral:rRNA from 1 species
GACGAACGCUGGCGGCGUGCCUAACACAUGCAAGUCGAGCGGGGAUUAUCGAAUGAAGUUUUCGGAUGGAAUUUGGUGAUUCUAGCGGCGGACGGGUGAGUAACGCGUGAGCAACCUGCCUUUCACAGGGGGAUAACGCAUCGAAAGGUGCACUAAUACCGCAUGAGACCACGCUCCCGACAUGAGAGAGGGGUCAAAGGAGCAAUCCGGUGAGAGAUGGGCUCGCGUCUGAUUAGCUGGUUGGUGAGGUAACGGCCCACCAAGGCGACGAUCAGUAGCCGACCUGAGAGGGUGAUCGGCCACAUUGGAACUGAGAGACGGUCCAAACUCCUACGGGAGGCAGCAGUGGGGAAUAUUGGGCAAUGGGGGAAACCCUGACCCAGCAACGCCGCGUGAAGGAAGAAGGUUUUCGGAUCGUAAACUUCUAUCCUUGGUGAAAAUAGUGAUGGUAGCCAAGAAGGAAG